rnacentral:misc_RNA from 1 species
GAUGAAGAACGUAGCGAAAUGCGAUAAGUAAUGCGAAUUGCAGAAUCCGUGAGUCAUCGAAUCUUUGAACGCACAUUGCGCCCUUUGGUAUUCCGAAGGGCAUGCCUGUUCGAGCGUCAUUAUCACCCCUCAAGCCCCGGCUUGGUGUUGGGCUCUCGGUGGUCGUCCCCGACCACCCGUCUCAAAGAUAGUGACGGCGUCCCAGAGGGAACCGGUACGAGGAGCUUUCACGAGCAUGUACGCGGGACGACUCUGCGGGCGACGGUCUUAUUUACUUUAUAUACAAGUGUUGACCUCGGAUCAGGUAGGAAUACCCGCUGAACUUAAGCAUAUCAAUAAGCGGAGGA